UAGUCCACGAGAAUAUUUACUUGAAUGUAAAUUUGUAUAUCGUCGUAAAUUGAAUAUUUUAAUAUUUAAUAUUUUCAGAUCAAGGUGUAGUUUAUAUAUAAGUUAAAAUGGGUUACAUUAAAAAUUUUAAUAAAAUUGGAUUUGAUAGUAAGCUCUAAAAUAUGUACAUAUCGCCCGUCGCUUUCAUUAUAAAAUGAAAUAAGUCGUAACAAAGUAGGUUUAUUGGAAAAUGAACCUAGAACGCAAAUUAGAGCUUGAUAAGUGUUUUAUUUACAUUAAAAGGUUAAUUGUGAAAUUCAAUUUAAUUUGAUUAUUAAGAUUUAUUAAAUAAUUAUUAUUUUAUUUAUUAUUAAAAAUUUAUAUAAUUUUAGUAUUUUUUUAAAAAAAUAUUAUUAUAGUUUAAAGUAUUGUGAAAGAAAGUUUAUAUAAAUUAAAAAGGAGUUUUAAAUUAUUGUACCUUGUGUAUCAGGGUUUAUUAAUUUAAUAUUCUCGAAUUUUAAAGAGUUAAUAUUAUUGUAUUAAAAAUAUUUAAAAUAAUUUUUUAGUAAUGAAAUGUUAUUCGUUUUUUUAUAUAUCUAGUUUUUUAAGAAAUAAAUUAAAUUUAUUAAUUUUAUUAGUGUAUUAAUAAGGGAUAAGCUUUAAAGUAAAAUAUUAUAAAUUAAUUGAAUUGUAAAAAUAAUAGAAUUAGAAUUUUUCAUUUAUAAUAAAAUGUUAUAAUUAAUUAUUUUAAAUUUUUUAUUAAAAAAUUAAAUUUAACUAUAAAAUUUAAGAUAUAAUGAUAAAAUUAGUAAGUUUAUAUUAAGGAAUUAGGCAAAUUUAUUUUUCACCUGUUUAAUAAAAACAUGGCUUUUUGUUUAUAUUUUAAAGUUUGGCCUGCCCAAUGAUUUAAUGGCUGCAGUAUUUUGACUGUACAAAGGUAGCAUAAUCAUUAGUUUUUUAAUUGAAAGCUGGAAUGAAAGGUUUGAUGAGAAAAUUACUGUCUCUAUAAUUUUAUUUUUAAGUAAGAAAGCUUAAAUUUUUUAAAAAGACGAGAAGACCCUAUAGAAUUUUUUUGUUGGGGUGAUGUAAAAAUUUAAAGAACUUUUUAAUUUUAUAAAUAAUUGAUCCUAGAUUAAUAGAAAAAAUUACCUUAGGGAUAACAGCGUUAUUUUUUUUGAGAG
rnacentral:rRNA from 1 species